AACGCGAAGAACCUUACCUGGGCUCGAAGCGCAGUGGACCGGGGUAGAAAUAUCCCUUCCCCUUAAAAGGCUGCUGCGGAGGUGCUGCAUGGCUGUCGUCAGCUCGUGUCGUGAGAUGUUGGGUUAAGUCCCGCAACGAGCGCAACCCUUAUCCCUAGUUGCCAUCGGGUCAAGCCGGGCACUCUAGUGAAACCGCUUCGGAUAACGGAGAGGAAGGUGGGGAUGACGUCAAGUCCUCAUGGCCUUUAUGUCCAGGGCUACACACGUGCUACAAUGGCCGGUACAAACCGUCCCAAACCCGCGAGGGGGAGGCAAUCGGAAAAAGCCGGCCUCAGUUCGGAUUGGAGUCUGCAACUCGACUCCAUGAAGCUGGAAUCGCUAGUAAUCGCGGAUCAGAACGCCGCGGUGAAUACGUUCCCGGGCCUUGUA
rnacentral:rRNA from 1 species